rnacentral:lncRNA from 1 species
UAAAAUAAACAUAGAAUGCAUGACCAAAAAAAAAAAACAUAGAAUGAAGGGAUAAUGUCCCUGUCAAAAAUAGGAAGAUCAAUUAUCAUAGACUCAAAUGAAGUCUUUGCAUGUCAAUGUUCUUCCCAUUUUCAACUAAAACUAUACUUGUAGAAACAAAAAAGUUCAGAUUUAAUUCUUUGAACGAUCGAGAUUAAGCAAUAAUGACAAUAACAAUAACAAUAACAAAGGAGAAAAUAGAUUGUUCAAAUUUGCAUAAAACCAUUAAAAGAUGGAGCAUAAAACCAUAAUGAAAAAAAACUCAUUUGAAGUUUGAACAAUCUAAAUUUGCAUUCAUGUAACAACAAUUCAUCAUAAUUUUCAUAUAUAUUACUCACCUGGAAUUCUUUCUCCCCUGUUUUCUGUAUCCUCUUCUAGCUCUGUUUUUUUUUAUUUUUAUUUUUAAAUAUUUGAGUUCUUGCUCUUUUGAAAAACGGUUUGGAUAUGGCACUCAACUUAAGUACCGUUUUUAUAUAUCUCUCUAGUUGUUUGUUUUUUUAACAAAAAACAAUGCGAUAUCUCUGUUUACUUAAUUUUAGGAAAUUUGUUUUAGUAUUUGCUCAAUUAAAGGAAUUUUUAGUUAAUGACAUUCAAUUAAUACUUCUCCAGAUUUUCAUGUCCAUAUUUAAUGUAUUGUUGACG